rnacentral:rRNA from 1 species
AGUGAACGCUGGCGGUAGGCCUAACACAUGCAAGUCGAACGGCAGCACAGUAAGAGCUUGCUCUUACGGGUGGCGAGUGGCGGACGGGUGAGGAAUACAUCGGUAUCUACUUUUUCGUGGGGGAUAACGUAGGGAAACUUACGCUAAUACCGCAUACGACCUACGGGUGAAAGCAGGGGAUCUUCGGACCUUGCGCGAUUGAAUGAGCCGAUGUCGGAUUAGCUAGUUGGCGGGGUAAAGGCCCACCAAGGCGACGAUCCGUAGCUGGUCUGAGAGGAUGAUCAGCCACACUGGCACUGAGACACGGUCCAGACUCCUACGGGAGGCAGCAGUGGGGAAUAUUGGACAAUGGGCGCAAGCCUGAUCCAGCCAUACCGCGUGGGUGAAGAAGGCCUUCGGGUUGUAAAGCCCUUUUGUUGGGAAAGAAAAGCAGCAGGUUAAUACCCCGCUGUUCUGACGGUACCCAAAGAAUAAGCACCGGCUAACUUCGUG